rnacentral:rRNA from 1 species
UGGCGAACGGGUGAGUAACGCGUGAGUAACCUGCCCUGGAGUGGGGGGACAACAGUUGGAAACGACUGCUAAUACCGCAUAAGCCCACGAUCCGGCAUCGGAUUGAGGGAAAAGGAUUUAUUCGCUUCAGGAUGGACUCGCGUCCAAUUAGCUAGUUGGUGAGGUAACGGCCCACCAAGGCGACGAUUGGUAGCCGGACUGAGAGGUUGAACGGCCACAUUGGGACUGAGACACGGCCCAG